rnacentral:rRNA from 1 species
AUGUCAGCAGCCGCGGUAAGACGGAGGGUGCAAGCGUUGUUCGGAAUUACUAGGCGUAAAGAGCGUGUAGGUGGUUAGCUAAGUCGGAUGUGAAAAUUCCGAGCUCAACUCGGAACCUGCAUUCGAAACUGGUUAACUUGAGUGUGGGAGAGGAGAGUGGAAUUCCUAGUGUAGCGGUGAAAUGCGUAGAUAUUAGGAAGAACACCAGUGGCGAAGGCGACUCUCUGGCCUAAAACUGACACUGAGACGCGAAAGCGUGGGGAGCGAACAGGAUUAGAUACCCUGGUAGUCCACGCUGUAAACGAUGGGCAUUAGGUGUAGGAGGUAUCCAAUCCUUCUGUGCCGAAGCUAACGCAUUAAAUGCCCCGCCUGGGGAGUACGGUCGCAAGGCUGAAACUUAAAUGAAUUGGCGGGG